rnacentral:rRNA from 1 species
CCACAUCACAUUGAAAUACCAGUUCCCACAUUAUCACCAAAGUUAAGCAAUAUUGAGCCUGGUCAAUACCUAGAUGGGUGAGCACUUGGGAAUACCAGGUGCUGG